ACCGGUUAUUGCAAAUUGUGCUUCGUGUGUCAAGCUUCUGAUGUGGUGUGAUAUCUUUGAUGGCUUAAUUCUCCCCGGGGCCAGCAUGGAUAUGACUACCACAGACAGGAAAACUGAGGCUCUGAAGAGAUGAUUGUGUCUGGGAAGAUGGAAGCCAGUUUUCUAUGUUCGCCUGAAGGGAAUGUUCCCUGUCUACUUCCAUCCCAGCGGUCCCCCAGCCUCAGGAGUACUCCCUCCCUCACCCUUCUCUCAGGCAAAUUAAAGAAACUGCAAAUCCUGUUGGAAAAUAUCAACCAACUGCCCGAAGCCUACCCUUAUCAAUCUAAUAAAACCUGCUUCCAUCUCUCAGCUCUCCAUGUCCAUCUACUUACCUGUGUCAUCUCUCCCCAUACAGCCCCUCUGUCCUGGGACGCCUUUAUCCACACAGUCUGCGUCUCUUCUAACCCUGUCCAGCACCUGGUGACUCAACUGUCCUUAGGGCCAAACCCCUCCUUAGCCCUCCAAAGCAAAGUGACUCAGUAUACCCUUUCAGUGUGCCCUGGGGACGCUCUCGUCCCCUGCACAUGUAGGGAUAUUCCCAGCGGAGGCCUUGGGGGUAGCAGAGAGUGUGUGAAAGCCAGCUCAUUACUGCACACA